rnacentral:rRNA from 1 species
AAUGAACGCUGGCGGCGUGCCUAACACAUGCAAAGUCGCACGAGAAAGUCUGCUUUCGGGCGGGCGAGUAAAGUGGCGCACGGGUGAGUAACGCGUAGGCAAUCUACCCCCGGGACCGGGAUAACAGUGCGAAAGUGCUGCUAAUACCGGAUACGAUCUUUCAGCGGGAGCUGGAAGGUGAAAGUCGGCCUCUCGAAGAAGCCGGUGUUCGGGGAUGAGCCUGCGUCCUAUCAGCUAGUUGGUAGGGUAACGGCCUACCAAGGCGACGACGGGUAGCUGGUCUGAGAGGAUGAUCAGCCACACUGGCACUGAAACACGGGCCAUACACCUAACGGGUGGCUG